UACGAAGGGGGCUAGCGUUGCUCGGAAUCACUGGGCGUAAAGCGCACGUAGGCGGGUUCUUAAGUCAGGGGUGAAAUCCUGGAGCUCAACUCCAGAACUGCCUUUGAUACUGGGGAUCUCGAGUCCGGAAGAGGUGAGUGGAACUCCGAGUGUAGAGGUGAAAUUCGUAGAUAUUCGGAAGAACACCAGUGGCGAAGGCGGCUCACUGGUCCGGUACUGACGCUGAGGUGCGAAAGCGUGGGGAGCAAACAGG
rnacentral:rRNA from 1 species